GUCCUUAUGGGUCUUUAUGGGGUCUUAUAUGAGAUUUAUGCGAUCCUAUGGGGUUCUAUGGGCUCUUAUGGGCUCUUAUGGGUCCUUAUGGGCUCUUAUGGGUCCUUAUGGGUCCUUAUGGGUCCUUAUGGGUCCUUAUGGGUCCUUAUGGGUCCUUAUGGGUCCUUAUGGGCUCUUAUGGGUCCUUAUGGGGUCUUAUGGGGUCCUUAUGGGGUCCUAUGGGGUCUUAUGUGAGAUUUAUGGGAUCCUAUGGGGUUCUAUGGGGUUCUAUGGAGUUCUAUGGGGUACUUAUGGGCUCUUAUGGCAUCCUUAUGGGGUCCUUAUGGGCUCCUUAUGGGGCCUUAUGGGGUCCUAUGGGGUUCUAUGGGGUCUUAUGAGGUCCUUAUGGAGUCUUAUGGGGUCCUAUGGGGUCUUAUGGGGUUCUAUGGGGUCUUAUGGGGUCCUAUGGGGCCUUAUGGGGGCCUUAUGGGCUCUUAUGGGGUCUUUUGGGAGAUUUAUGGGGUCCUAUGAGAUCCUAUGGGAUCGGAUGGAGUCCUAUGGGGUCUUAUGGGGUUUUAUGGGAUCUUAUGGGGUCCUUAUGGGGUCCUUAUCGGGGCCUUAUGGGGUCUUAUGUGCUCUUAUGGGCUCUUAUGGGGUCCCUUAUGGGGUCCUUAUGGGUCCUUAUGGGGUCCUUUAUGGCGUCCUUAUCGACUUCUUAUGGGGUCUUAAAGGCUCUUAUGGAGUCUUAGGGGUCCUUAUGGGGUUCUAUGGGGUCCUAUGGGGUCCUAUGGGGUCAGGGCUCCUUUAUGGGAUCGGCUGCUGCUGCGCAAGGAGCUCUGCGCAUGGCCUGUGGGGCUGCAGCUGCGGUAUGGAUAUGGGGUCCUAUGGGGUCUGAUGGGGUUCUAUGGGGUCUUAUGGGGUCUUAUGGGGUUCUGUGGGGUCCUAUGGGGUCUGAUGGGGUCCUAUGGGGUUCUAUGGGGUCUGAUGGGGUCCUUAUGGGGUCCUAUGGGAUCGGAUGGAGUCCUAUGGGGUCUUAUGGGGUUUUAUGGGAUCUUAUGGGGUCGUUAUGGGGUCCUUAUGGGCUCUUAUGGGGUCCUUAU
rnacentral:lncRNA from 1 species